rfam:Salmo salar isolate Sally breed double haploid chromosome ssa10, whole genome shotgun sequence.
UGCAUUCACUACUGUAAGUCGCUUUGGAUAAGAGCGUCUGCUAAAUGACGUAAA